CACCCCGCAGCCCUGCCCCGGCACCCCGCAGCCCGCUGCUCUGCCCCUGCCGUCUGACCGGGCGCUUGCCGCCGGGAGAAGCGGGAUGACAAGUGUCCAUGCCAGCACAAAUCCCAUCCCAGCUCUGUCCCCGACCUGCGCGGAGGCUCCAGGAGAGCCAAGCCCGCUCCUGGCUCCCGGGGCACCCUUGCAGCGCCCGGCAGCGAUCGGCACACCGGGUCAUUGCCACGGACUUGGAGAAUAUUGCCUAGCUCUACUUCAGAAUGGCAUUUGUUUGACAUCUGGGUGGAAGUUCCUCUGUGUGGAUGUAAUCUCCACUUGAGAGCAGCGAGGUUAAUCUCGGUGCCAGGGUUAAGGGGCCAGCAGCAGCUCUGGCUCUCGAGUGAGCGCUCCCAUCCCGAGUGCUGCCGUGCCCCCGUGGGUGCAGAGAUCGCAGCACCUCUGGCCUCGGGUUUCCCUUCCCUGCCGAGGCACUGCUCUCGGAGGGAUUUCCCGCAGGCAAUGUCCCGCACCUCCGUGCGGGAUGGGGACAGCCACCUCAAAGGGACAAGGGCUGUCUGCUCCGGGGGGCACUGUGCCCUUCACCCCUUCACUGCGGGGUCUCGUUUCAAGCCAAGUCCUUUGUUGCUAUGGUAAUACAAAUGAAAAAUCUAUACUAUGGUAAUUUUAGCAAAACACCUCUUUUCUCCCCCUAAACUAAAUCGGACUGUGGCUCAGGAUUGUGUGGGCACACAGGAAUAGUCGUGCUGAUAUUCCUCAGCCGGAGCUGUUGAACAGCAGUUGUGUAGAGGGCUGUCAGCGACUGGGGCUGUCAGCCUGGGCUGCUUUUCCCUGAUAGUGCACAGGAUCUUUGUUUGACUUUGGAGAGGUUUCUGAGCAGGCUCUGAGCCUUUGUCUGUAGCAGGGAGGUGACUGGUUUCACUGGCCGCAGUGACAGGUCCGGGAGUUUUGGCUCUUGUACAACAGUCUGUAGUAGCUUGCUAACAAAAUCCUGUAUUUGCAAAGUCUCGGCUGUCCAAGGGGAAGGACACCUUAAGCAGGGUCUCCCAGGGAGUAAUCUGGGACCAGUCCUGGGCAGUGCUCUGUGAUAACUUGGGUGACAGAAUGGAGGGCAUUUCUAGAACAUGGGCAGUGAUUCCAGCUCGGGGUGCCAGGCUGAGCUUUCAAACGUCCCCGAGGUGCUGCAGAGCCUGUCUGAACUCAACAGGGUGAAUCUGCAGGAGGCAAAACGAUGUGCUGUGCCACACAGGAGGAAUAGUGCCCGGCAGAGGAGCGCUGUGAGGGCCACUCGCUGCAGAGCAGACUCUGGCUGUGGUCUCCAGCCCGGGCAGAGCUGCAGUGCUGCUGCUGCCAGGAGCAGGAGGAGCAGCCGAGACAUCAGAGGCGUUAAUUCUGUUAUUUCUGUUCCCUCAGGCUGGCCAGGCUGGGCUGGAGCUCUCUGUCCGCUCCCAGGCACUGCACUCACCCUGAUGCAGGCAGAGCAGGGAGAACAGCAGCCACGACUGAGAGAGGCUUGGAAAUGUAAGCUGUGCAAGGCUGGGAUUCAUUAUUUGAGCUGCAAAAGAAAACACAAUAUUCCUGAACUGAAAGAGCUUUGCAAGCAUCUGAGAAAUGCCUUCCCAAGCAUGUGCUUAAGCAGCAGUGUUGUUCUUCGGCUUUAUGAGUGAGAAUGGAUGAUGCUCCUAAAUUCUUCAUUAUUCAUCUGCCUCAGGUUAGAACCUGACCAGAACCUGUGCUCUGAAACACUUCAGGGGCAAGAGAGUCCUUAAAUCCAAACUGAAUCUACUGUUCCCUGAUGAUAGAUCACUCAGACUGCCAAAUGUCACCUGGCAGACAAUUUUCAGUCAUUUAUUUCUGUUCAGAAAUAUACAUAAGAGGAGAUCAACUUCCAUUGUGUCUCUGUUUCUAGCUCAGUCAAUUUUUAAUACUGUCGAUAUAUUCAGUAGAUGGGAAAUAAUUAUCUUAGUCAAAAUACUUUUGAUUCAUAUGAAAAUAGAUACUGUGUUGCAGCUUUUAAAAUGAUUGUGACAGUAUAAAGGAAAAAAUUUAUUAG